CAUCUGAAAUUUCUAGGUCCUGCUUUUCUGUUGAAACUGAAACAAAGUCUUCAUUCUCAUUGAUUCUACUUCUAUUCUACAGGCUCCCAGUCAUUCCUCAGAAGGGGCAGAAGGAAUGCUGACCAGAACAUCAUAAAUGAAGUUGUGUGAAAUGGACUCUAUGGGAGUAAGCCCUGUGUUUAAUCCUGCAAAGAAUCUCAGGUGGAGGAACCCGGGGUUGUGUGGGCAGACAGGAGGAUAAAGGAAGUAUGCCCUUUCCCUUCUACGGAUGCCCCUGCUUUCAUUGUGAAGAUGCAAAAACAACCUCAGAGGGGGCACAGAUUUUUUUCUCUAAGAUUCACG
rnacentral:lncRNA from 1 species